UACGUAGGUGACAAGCGUUGUCCGGAUUUACUGGGCGUAAAGAGCGCGCAGGCGGUCGUUCAAGUCGAGUGUGAAAGCCCCCGGCUCAACUGGGGAGGGUCACUCGAUACUGAUCGACUCGAAGGCAGGAGAGGGUAGUGGAAUUCCCGGUGUAGUGGUGAAAUGCGUAGAUAUCGGGAGGAACACCAGUGGCGAAGGCGGUUGCCUGGAGCUUUGCUGACGCUGAGGCGCGAAAGCGUGGGGAGCGAUCCGG
rnacentral:rRNA from 1 species